AGUGAACGCUGGCGGUAGGCCUAACACAUGCAAGUCGAACGGCAGCACAGUAAGAGCUUGCUCUUACGGGUGGCGAGUGGCGGACGGGUGAGGAAUACAUCGGAAUCUACUUUUUCGUGGGGGAUAACGUAGGGAAACUUACGCUAAUACCGCAUACGACCUACGGGUGAAAGCAGGGGAUCUUCGGACCUUGCGCGAUUGAAUGAGCCGAUGUCGGAUUAGCUAGUUGGCGGGGUAAAGGCCCACCAAGGCGACGAUCCGUAGCUGGUCUGAGAGGAUGAUCAGCCCCACUGGAACUGAGACACGGUCCAGACUCCUACGGGAGGCAGCAGUGGGGAAUAUUCGACAAUGGGCGCAAGCCUGAUCCAGCCAUACCGCGUGGGUGAAGAAGGCCUUCGGGUUGUAAAGCCCUUUUGUUGGGAAAGAAAAGCAGCAGGUUAAUACCCCGCUGUUCUGACGUUACCCAAAGAAUAAGCACCGGCUAACUUCGUG
rnacentral:rRNA from 1 species